CCUACGGGGGGCAGCAGUGGGGAAUAUUGGACAAUGGGGGGAACCCUGAUCCAGCCAUGCCGCGUGUGUGAAGAAGGCCCCCGGGUUGUAAAGCACUUUCAGUGAGGAAGAACGCCUGGUGGUUAAUACCCAUCAGGAAAGACAUCACUCACAGAAGAAGCACCGGCUAACUCCGUGCCAGCAGCCGCGGUAAUACGGAGGGUGCGAGCGUUAAUCGGAAUUACUGGGCGUAAAGCGCGCGUAGGUGGCUUGAUAAGCCGGUUGUGAAAGCCCCGGGCUCAACCUGGGAACGGCAUCCGGAACUGUCAAGCUAGAGUGCAGGAGAGGAAGGUAGAAUUCCCGGUGUAGCGGUGAAAUGCGUAGAGAUCGGGAGGAAUACCAGUGGCGAAGGCGGCCUUCUGGACUGACACUGACACUGAGGUGCGAAAGCGUGGGUAGCAAACAGGAUUAGAUACCCGGGUAGUC
rnacentral:rRNA from 1 species